rnacentral:tRNA from 3 species
UCCGGAGUAGCUCAAUGGUAGAGCAACUGACUGUUAAUCAGUGGGUUGUCGGUUCGAAUCCGACCUCCGGAGCCA